GAUGAACGCUGGCGGCGUGCCUAAUACAUGCGAGUCGAGCGAACGGACGAGAAGCUUGCUUCUCUGAUGUUAGCGGCGGACGGGUGAGUAACACGUGGAUAACCUACCUAUAAGACUGGGAUAACUUCGGGAAACCGGAGCUAAUACCGGAUAAUAUUUUGAACCGCAUGGUUCAAAAGUGAAAGACGGUCUUGCUGUCACUUAUAGAUGGAUCCGCGCUGCAUUAGCUAGUUGGUAAGGUAACGGCUUACCAAGGCAACGAUGCAUAGCCGACCUGAGAGGGUGAUCGGCCACACUGGAACUGAGACACGGUCCAGACUCCUACGGGAGGCAGCAGUAGGGAAUCUUCCGCAAUGGGCGAAAGCCUGACGGAGCAACGCCGCGUGAGUGAUGAAGGUCUUCGGAUCGUAAAACUCUGUUAUUAGGGAAGGACAUAUGUGUAAGUAACUGUGCACAUCUUGACGGUACCUAAUCAGAAAGCCACGGCUAACUACGUG
rnacentral:rRNA from 1 species